GACGAACGCUGGCGGCGUGCCUAAUACAUGCAAGUCGAGCGAACGGACGAGAAGCUUGCUUCUCUGAUGUUAGCGGCGGACGGGUGAGUAACACGUGGAUAACCUACCUAUAAGACUGGGAUAACUUCGGGAAACCGGAGCUAAUACCGGAUAAUAUUUUGAACCGCAUGGUUCAAAAGUGAAAGACGGUCUUGCUGUCACUUAUAGAUGGAUCCGCGCUGCAUUAGCUAGUUGGUAAGGUAACGGCUUACCAAGGCAACGAUGCAUAGCCGACCUGAGAGGGUGAUCGGCCACACUGGAACUGAGACACGGUCCAGACUCCUACGGGAGGCAGCAGUAGGGAAUCUUCCGCAAUGGGCGAAAGCCUGACGGAGCAACGCCGCGUGAGUGAUGAAGGUCUUCGGAUCGUAAAACUCUGUUAUUAGGGAAGAGCAUAUGUGUAAGUAACUGUGCACAUCUUGACGGUACCUAAUCAGAAAGCCACGGCUAACUACGUG
rnacentral:rRNA from 1 species